GGUGAUGAGUUUCUCCACAGUCCGCUUCUAGCUGCCAACAUCACUGUGGUGAAGAACCAUCUGUAAGUCAAGCUUACAUCUUUCCCUCCUCAGAGGAAACUCCCCAGAGGCCGUCAGCGAGGGUUGAGGAAGAAGUGGCAGGAGGAGGUCCGAGUGAGUCCUCAGCGAGUGCAAACUGCUCCCACAGUCAGGCAUGAAAUAAGAAAAAUGAAAGAGAGGUGUUCAGUGUGCAGCUUGACUAAGAAGUCAGGAAGAAGACAGGACUUGUUCCUGAGGUCGCUGCCCAGCUGUCAUCCAGGGACUGUUUUCUUCUGACCCUGGAAUUCCUGGGAGAGCAGAAUAUUAACAAUAUCUUGGAAG